rnacentral:rRNA from 1 species
GACGAACGCUGGCGGCGUGCUUAACACAUGCAAGUCGAACGGUAAGGCCCUUCGGGGUACACGAGUGGCGAACGGGUGAGUAACACGUGGGUGAUCUGCCCUGCACUUCGGGAUAAGCCUGGGAAACUGGGUCUAAUACCGGAUAGGACCACUGCCUGCAUGGGUGGUGGUGGAAAGCUUUUGCGGUGUGGGAUGGGCCCGCGGCCUAUCAGCUGGUUGGUGGGGUGAUGGCCUACCAAAGCGACGACGGGUAGCCGGCCUGAGAGGGUGACCGGCCACACUGUGACUGAGAGACGGCCCAGACUCCUACGGGAGGCAGCAGUGGGGAAUAUCGCACAAUGGGCGCAAGCCUGAUGCAGCGACGCCGCGUGAGGGAUGACGGCCUUCGGGUUGUAAACCUCUUUCAGCACCGACGAAGCGCAAGUGACGGUAGGUGCAGAAGAAGGACCGGCCAACUACGUGCCAGCAGCCGCAGUAA